rnacentral:lncRNA from 1 species
AAGUCCUUCUCUAUAUAAAGGGGUUUAGGGCAAUGUUUAGAAACACUUGCAUUAUAUGAAUAAGAUUAUUUCUUUUGCCCUCAAUUCUUCCCUGUGAUUCCCCUUUCUUCUUAUUAUUCUUUAUCAAUUUGUGUGUUCCUGCAUCAAUUUAGUAUCAGAGCAAAUUCAUUUCCUUUGGCCACAAAAUCAUCCACAAUCCUUGACCUCAUUUCCAUCUACCUUCAUAUACAGCCACCUUUCCACCAUCCAUUCAACACCAAUAACCACCAUUACAUACGGCAGCCUUUGAACAGCACAAAACGAAAGAGGAAGAGCAUUUAUCGCAGCAGCAGUUUUAAGUUUUCCUUUUAGUUCUUAGUUUCAAAAAAAAAAAAAAAAAAUUCCGGAACUGUUCACCGGUCAGUAGUAGUUGCAUUAGAUAUUCUUAAAAAAAAAAAGAAAAGAAGAGUAGUACAAUUUAUUGUCGAUUAUUUUUCAUAUUGCUUUUCAUAUGUCACAACUGUUGCUGUUCAACCAAAGGCACUCUAUAUUACCUACUCAUCGCUAAUUUUCCCAAGCCCAAACCUUAAUCUAUCAUACCAACCCACUAACCCAAUUUGUCAAAAUCCAGCAGCCCAAUUAAACCCAUAUCUAAAUUACCCUAGCCCAACCCAUUAACCAAUUAUUAUCUCCUUACUUCCUCGACAAAUUGAAUCCAAGACUCCAAGAUAAUCUCACCGUCAGCCGCUCACACCGCCGCCUGCAAAGCUACAAGUUCCUGCAACUCUAACCCCGUUUCGAUCGUCGGCUAACACCACUACUGGUUUCUCCAUUUUUCGCUGCUACCAAACCACUCCCCCAGUCCACCACUAUCAUCUAUUUCCUACACAUCCAUAACCACCACCACCUCGUCGCACAGGGAAGAUUAUCACACCACUAAAGUCAUCGUUUUCCCCUCUCAAAUCCAUAAACUGCCUCCUGCCACUUUGUGCCAACCACUUUGGCUCCAGACACUCAAACCUGCCGCUGCUCCACUACUCAAAUUCGGAAUCUCCGCCGCUACUGUCACGGUCAAGUCCUCCACGCAUUCGAUCGCCAUCAUCACCAUAGAGGUACAACAAUUUCAUUAUAUUUUCAUCUCCGUCACUCCACUGCCGCUUGAAGUCUUUCGCAACUGUUACUGGCCCCAAUCUGGUCACUGCUCUUUCUAUCACCAUCUCCGUUCUACCACUGCUGCAGCGAGUCUUGCCGUCUUAUGAAAAGCCUGAGGUCGAUUUUUCCCUUGUGUUUUGGUAAGGAUUUCCUUCUGCUUUUAUUGAAACUUUGCUAUUAUUCAAGUACUUUGCCUUUUACGUAGUACUGCAUUCAUUCCAAGUUAAAAAAAAAAAAAAAAAAAAAAAAACUUAUUCUCAAAUCAAUACAAAUGAAUCUCAAAGAUUUAGAACACUCACACGAAGUAUUAUCUCAGCAAGUUACCAAUUUUUCAACUGAUUUAGCGUCUAUGAAGGCUGAUUUUGCUGAACUUAAAGAUUUUAUCAUUGAGUUACAUCGAAAUCCUGAAAAACGCCCCGCAGAUAAUUUUUUUGAAUCAUCGACCAUAGGUCAGAACAUUCAUAACACUGCUCAACAGGCUCCUGUCAUUCCACAUAGAGGGGAAUCCCCUACGAUACAGCAUCCUAUUCACAACUCACACACCCCCGAAUAUCUGAAACCUGGUGUCCAAUAUAAUACUCGCCCUGAACCCCGCCCCCCACAUUUUGAUCGACAUAGGGACCUUGUUGAUGACAUGUCUAGAAACAUUAGAGUAGAUGCUCCCGAAUUUGAUGGCCGUCUAGACCCCGAAGCCUUUUUAGAUUGGCUGGACUCCAUCGAAGAAUACUUCGAUUGGUAUCGCAUGCCGGAUUAUCAGUGGCUUCGCUUCGCCAAAAUGAAACUCACCAAAUUUGCUAAACGCUAUUGGCAAAACUUGACACGAAACCUCGAACAUUUAGGACAACCUAUCACCCUAUGGGCGAAAAUGAAAACAAAACUAAAAGAAAAGUAUGUCCCACCAUUCCAUCGAUCUCAG